UGGGGAAUUUUGGACAAUGGGGGAAACCCUGAUCCAGCCAUCCCGCGUGUGCGAUGAAGGCCUUCGGGUUGUAAAGCACUUUUGGCAGGAAAGAAACGUCAUGGGUUAAUACCCCGUGAAACUGACGGUACCUGCAGAAUAAGCACCGGCUAACUACGUGCCAGCAGCCGCGGUAAUACGUAGGGUGCUAGCGUUAAUCGGAAUUACUGGGCGUAAAGCGUGCGCAGGCGGUUCGGAAAGAAAGAUGUGAAAUCCCAGAGCUCAACUUUGGAACUGCAUUUUUAACUACCGGGCUAGAGUGUGUCAGAGGGAGGUGGAAUUCCGCGUGUAGCAGUGAAAUGCGUAGAUAUGCGGAGGAACACCGAUGGCGAAGGCAGCCUCCUGGGAUAACACUGGCGCUCAUGCACGAAAGCGUGGGGAGCAAACAGG
rnacentral:rRNA from 1 species